rnacentral:rRNA from 1 species
AGUGAACGCUGGCGGUAGGCCUAACACAUGCAAGUCGAACGGCAACACAGUAAGCUCUUGCUCUUACGGGUGGCGACUAGCGGACGGGUGACGAAUACAUCAGCAUCUACUUUUUGGGGGAGGAUAACGUAGGGCGACUUAUAAUAAUACAGCAUACCACCUAAGACUGAAAUCAAGGGUUAAUCGGACCAUGGCAGAUUAAAUGAGCCGAUGUCGGAUUAGCUAGUUGGCGGGGUAAAGGCCCACAAAGCCGACGAUCCGUACCUGGUCGGAGUGGAUGAUCGGCCACACUGGAACUGAGCCACGGUCCAGACUCCUACGGGAGGCAGCAGUGGGGAAUAUUGGACAAUGGGCGCAAGCCUGAUCCAGCCAUACCGCGUGGGUGAAGAAGGCCUUCGGGUUGUAAAGCCCUUUUGUUGGGAAAGAAAAGCAGCAGGUUAAUACCCCGCUGUUCUGACGGUACCCAAAGAAUAAGCACCGGCUAACUUCGUG